rnacentral:rRNA from 1 species
AUUGAACGCUGGCGGCAGGCUUAACACAUGCAAGUCGAGCGGGGUGAUGGUGCUUGCACUAUCACUUAGCGGCGGACGGGUGAGUAAUGCUUAGGAAUCUGCCUAUUAGUGGGGGACAACAUCUCGAAAGGGAUGCUAAUACCGCAUACGUCCUACGGGAGAAAGCAGGGGAUCACUUGUGACCUUGCGCUAAUAGAUGAGCCUAAGUCGGAUUAGCUAGUUGGUGGGGUAAAGGCCUACCAAGGCGACGAUCUGUAGCGGGUCUGAGAGGAUGAGCCGCCACAAUGGGACUGAGACACGGCACAGACUCCUACGGGAGGCAGCAGUGGGGAAUAUUGGACAAUGGGGGGAACCCUGAUCCAGCCAUGCCGCGUGUGUGAAGAAGGCCUUAUGGUUGUAAAGCACUUUAAGCGAGGAGGAGGCUCUUUUGGUUAAUACCCAAGAUGAGUGGACGUUACUCGCAGAAUAAGCUCCGGCUAACUCUGUGCCAGCCGCCGCGGUAA